GGGGGUGCGGGUUAGUCUGACGGUGCACGCCGCGUGAGGGAUGAAGGCCUCUGGGCUGUAAACCUCUUUUAUCAAGGAAGAAGAUCUGACGGUACUUGAUGAAUAAGCCACGGCUAAUUCCGUGCCAGCAGCCGCGGUAAUACGGGAGUGGCAAGCGUUAUCCGGAAUUAUUGGGCGUAAAGCGUCCGCAGGCGGUCUUAUAAGUCUGCUGUUAAAGCGUGGAGCUUAACUCCAUUUCGGCAGUGGAAACUGUAAGACUAGAGUGUGGUAGGGGCAGAGGGAAUUCCCGGUGUAGCGGUGAAAUGCGUAGAUAUCGGGAAGAACACCAGUGGCGAAGGCGCUCUGCUGGGCCAUAACUGACGCUCAUGGACGAAAGCCAGGGGAGCGAAAGGGAUUAGAUACCCCCUGUAGUCCA
rnacentral:rRNA from 1 species